AGGAGCAUGAGGGAAGGCACUAUGAGGCUGAGGAGGUUUCCUCAGAUGUCUCCAGCAGCAGCUACAGCAGUAGCCCCCUGAGUGUGGCCUCAGGUUGUCCAAUGAAGGACUGCAGAUCCAAUGGCAAAAUGCCUCAUCAGGAAGGCUGAGAGACACACAGAAAAUAUCCUCAUGUCCUUAAAAACUGCAUGAAUGUGCCUGCUUCUGAGAGCUGGGGAAGGAGUGUUGUUUGGGAGACAGCUUCCCCAAAAGCUCUUGCUUUCUUUUGGUCUCUGGUGUCCAGUGAGGCUGUCACCUUCACAGACAGGCUACACCUUUCUUUUAAGUCUCAUUUCCCACUCUGGAUUGUUCUUUCCCAGCUCUGACCCUCAAGAGGAUCAGACCCCAUGCAUCUUGGAGCCACCUGAAGUGUACCCUCCUCACAUCUUGCAAACGACAGCAAGUAUAUCACCUGGGGACAUGUGAGAAAUUCUCAUCCCCAGAGCAAAAUUGGCGACUCUUUGAGCAUGGCUUUCAACGGGUACUGGUACUCCACCCACCACCAUAGACGAGAAAAGAAGAAGAUGGGGGUUAACCACUUAGCCCAAGGCGGUGCCACUUCUAAAUGAUGAAGCCAGAAAUCGUGUCCAGAUCUGCCUAGGUUCAAAGUUCACACCACCUAACAUGAGUAUGAUCAUCCCUAUACCCAAGGUCACCUUAAAAGGACGAGUACCGUACCUGCAGCCACCUUUCUGCCCUCCUUGAGUUGGUUGGCCACAUGUUCAGGCAGCAUGGCAUACAGCAAGGUCUCUGUCUUCUUCUUCUCGAUGGCCAGGUGAUUGGAAAGGACACGCAACUCCUCCUUCUUCUUUUCCAGUUGGCAGGACAGCUCCAUCUCUGCCAGCCUCUGCUGGUUGAGGAGGAUGAGAUCCCUGGUCGUGUCGUGCGGAGCGAUAUCAGAAAGAUGCAUCUUGCUCUCUUCCAGCUCUUGCAGGCUGCGGAGCUUUGGGGAACACAUGAAGAUCAUGCACCUCAGAGACUCCAUCCAGAUCAUCUGACCUGCCCAUCACAGAGAGGAAGGUGACAAUGUGGGAUGUCUCCAGACAGAACAAGAGGUAAAGCCUGCUCCACCCUUCUUAGCCAUGCAUCGUAAGAAUCAUCUAUGCUUCUGUCUCCAUUCACUCAUCUGCCACGCUCUGCACAACAGCUCUUCCUGUGACGGCCAUGAGCUUGAGAUGCCAACCCCAGCAGCUAGGUCUGCAGCUAGGUCUUCUCUUUGCUUUGAUCUUCUACUGUCUUAGGUAUGAACCUAAUAUUCCCUCUGGAAAUCUUGUAUCCUGAGGUUUUUCAGCCACUGAUACCUCUCUGGAGUUUCCCUAUUUCUUUGAGGUUUUUCUUCAGUCUUUGUCCACCCCCUACUCCUGCAUUCAUGGUACUAGAAGGCUACUCUUAAUGCUCCAGGAGGAGUAAGGCAAUACCUGCCAGCUACGAAUCCUGUGACCGUCAACAGUGACCUGCCUCUAAGAUAUACUUUUAAGUAUGUGUGCAACAGUGGAAUGAAUGUCAUGGGAGGAACCAACUACUUUGUGAUUCGAUUUAAGGUCUGAGCCCUGAGAUGGAACCCACAUCUGACACUGCUAAUUGGCCAAGAAGCUGAGACUAGAUAGGUCAGGGACAUAAUAGAUACUAUUAUUCGGCUAAAGAAGCAUGACAAUGCAAUGACUUCUAAUGGCAUAGUGGCACAUAUGUCAUAUACGUAUACAUAACAAUGCCACAGAUCAAUGCCUCACUCAAUCCAAGAGAAGCUUCUUGUAUCCAGUGAAAAUUGAUGCAGAAAUGGACAAUGUGCAGAGAGUAAGAGACUUUAGAUCACUCCAUGCUAAAGUGGGCGUCUUCAUUAACUCUCCCUUCAAGGCUCGGAGGAUGAUGAGGUAGAAAUAUUCUAAGAGCCAGAGAGGACAGACAACGCCAAGGAAACAGCGUCUUCCAGACACCGCAGGACUGAUGCAUGUAUGAACCCUCAGAGACUGGCAGCAUUCACAGGACCGACAUAGGUUCAAGCUGGAUGGGGACCCAGUGCUGAGAGGGAGAAGUGGACAUACUCUCCUCACCCUAACCAAGAGGCUAUCUACAAUUGCUGCCCACUACCAAUGAAGUUGCCCCGGGUAUAUCAACCACACUUCAGGGUGGGAUCCAUGUCCAGAAGUAGUUGACCAACACAAACAAACUCAAGGCUAUUUUUGUAGACUUUUUGUCUCAUUUUGCUUUGUUGGGGUUUUUAAUUUUUUUUUUUGGUUCUUUUUUUCGGAGCUGGGAACCGAACCCAGGGCCUUGUGCUUCCUAGGUAAGCGCUCUACCACUGAGCUAAAUCCCCAGCCCCGGGGUUUUUAAUUUUUUGUCUCACUUAUGUUUUGCUUGCUUAUUUUGGUUUCUGGUGUGUGUGUGUGUGUGUGUGUGUGUGUGUGUGUGUGUGUGUGUGUGUGUUGGGGAGGGGGGAGAAAAACAUGAUGAAAAUACAUUGUAUGGGAAACAAAUUCAAUAAUUAAAAAAUUUACCAUA